UACGUAGGUCCCGAGCGUUGUCCGGAUUUAUUGGGUGUAAAGGGCGUGUAGGCGGGAAUGCAAGUCAGAUGUGAAAACUCAGGGCUCAACCCUGAGCCUGCAUUUGAAACUGUGUUUCUUGAGUGCUGGAGAGGCAAUCGGAAUUCCGUGUGUAGCGGUGAAAUGCGUAGAUAUACGGAGGAACACCAGUGGCGAAGGCGGAUUGCUGGACAGUAACUGAUGCUGAGGCGCGAAAGCGUGGGGAGCAAACAGG
rnacentral:rRNA from 1 species